GAGCAAUUCACUGGGGGAGUUUCUAUGAGGAAGCCCUGAAAUAAGCUGAAACUCUGGGGAAGGAGACAUUUUCAAUGAACAUCUACAUUCACAGAAGCCUAGGAACCAUUUCACAGUGUCUUUGAACAAGGCUGGGAAGAGAAGGAUGCAGAGAAUGGCGGGCGUGGACGUCAAGCCUUAGAAGCAAGAAAGAGGAUGAUAAGGAUUUGAAGAGCUAUGUUUCAACCAUGCACGGUGUUUGCCCAGCUCAACCAGCAAGGCUCAGUGUGCUGAGCUCCAGUACUGCGUGUUAGACUUGCCAGGAGGCGAGGCAGAGAGGGCUGAGCGUGGGGAAACUUCUUUCCUGAGCAGCUCUUCCUGACUGACGUACUGAAACAGGAGUCCUGACAUGGAAGCUGUCAUGGCAUGAGGAUUACAGCUCCUGGAAACCAGUUGGCCUCCAAAGCUGGUGUGUAAAGCCACUAGCCCCACAGCCCACAGGGCAUACCUGUGGUGUAAGCGCUGCCCAGGACAGCCCUGCAGUUCCCUCCUCUCCCUGCAGAUUCGUGAAAAUGACCAAGCAGAAGCACACUGUUAUGUAAGAGGAAUAAAGAGGCUAAUAGGAACUGUCUGUAAUUGCCAAGGAAUAAGGUCUAGUGGAGAGUGUUCUUUUUCAGGUGCACUACUGCAAAUCUUCAGUAGACAAAGCAUAGGAAAAAGGGGUUGCUAGAAUUGCCACCACUGUGCAGUUACCUGCAUCUAUUAAAAAAAGUCAAAUGCCUUUAAUGUGAUUAAAGAACAGAGGUCAGACCUGUUUUACAGUGACUUUGGACUAUCCAGAGGCAGCGAGACCUGGACUCCAGGCAUCAAUAAGGUGAUACAGAUAAUGCAGCAGGAGCAAAAGAGAGAUGUCCAGGAGUCUUUAAAGAAUAGAAAAAGGAAUUUAGAACAGAUUCCUUGGAAUGUAACUUGAAAAACAGCAAGUAGAAAAAAAGGAAGCAGAAAUGCAAAUAUUUCCAGGUUUCCAGUUCUUUAAAAACGAUGAUGGUUCAGGUGUGUGAUGAGCAACUACUUUCUCUGAAAAGCAGGCAAAAUAUUAAAUCAAAGAAAAAGGAGAAUGUGU
rnacentral:lncRNA from 1 species